CGUGAAAAUUCGAGGCUCAACCUCGAACUUGCGGUGGGUACGGGCAGACUAGAGUGUGGUAGGGGAGACUGGAAUUCCUGGUGUAGCGGUGAAAUGCGCAGAUAUCAGGAGGAACACCGAUGGCGAAGGCAGGUCUCUGGGCCACUACUGACGCUGAGAAGCGAAAGCAUGGGGAGCGAACAGGAUUAGAUACCCUGGUAGUCCAUGCCGUAAACGUUGGGAACUAGGUGUGGGUCUCAUUCCACGAGAUCCGUGCCGCAGCUAACGCAUUAAGUUCCCCGCCUGGGGAGUACGGCCGCAAGGCUAAAACUCAAAGGAAUUGACGGGGGCCCGCACAAGCGGCGGAGCAUGCGGAUUAAUUCGAUGCAACGCGAAGAACCUUACCAAGGCUUGACAUAUGCGAGAACGCGGCAGAGAUGUCGUUCUCUUUGGACACUCGCAUACAGGUGGUGCAUGGUUGUCGUCAGCUCGUGUCGUGAGAUGUUGGGUUAAGUCCCGCAACGAGCGCAACCCUCGUUCUAUGUUGCCAGCACGUGAUGGUGGGGACUCAUAGGAGACUGCCGGG
rnacentral:rRNA from 1 species